UAAGCGACUAAGCGUACACGGUGGAUGCCCUGGCAGUCAGAGGCGAUGAAGGACGUGCUAAUCUGCGAAAAGCGCCGGCGAGGUGAUAUGAACCUUUGACCCGGCGAUGUCCGAAUGGGGAAACCCAGUGCAAUUCGUUGCACUAUCGUUAACUGAAUACAUAGGUUAACGAGGCGAACCGGGGGAACUGAAACAUCUAAGUACCCCGAGGAAAAGAAAUCAACCGAGAUUCCCCCAGUAGCGGCGAGCGAACGGGGAGCAGCCCGGAGUCUGAAUCAGCUUGUGUGUUAGUGGAACGGUCUGGAAAGUCCGACGGUACAGGGUGAUAGUCCCGUACACGAAAGCACACAUGCUGUGAACUCGAAGAGUAGGGCGGGACACGUGGUAUCCUGUCUGAAUAUGGGGGGACCAUCCUCCAAGGCUAAAUACUCCUGACUGACCGAUAGUGAACCAGUACCGUGAGGGAAAGGCGAAAAGAACCCCGGCGAGGGGAGUGAAAAAGAACCUGAAACCGUGUACGUACAAGCAGUGGGAGCCUCUUUAUGGGGUGACUGCGUACCUUUUGUAUAAUGGGUCAGCGACUUAUAUUCUGUAGCAAGGUUAACCGUAUAGGGGAGCCGAAGGGAAACCGAGUCUUAACUGGGCGUUAAGUUGCAGGGUAUAGACCCGAAACCCGGUGAUCUAGCCAUGGGCAGGUUGAAGGUUGGGUAACACUAACUGGAGGACCGAACCGACUAAUGUUGAAAAAUUAGCGGAUGACCUGUGGCUGGGGGUGAAAGGCCAAUCAAACCGGGAGAUAGCUGGUUCUCCCCGAAAGCUAUUUAGGUAGCGCCUCGUGAACUCAUCUUCGGGGGUAGAGCACUGUUUCGGCUAGGGGGCCAUCCCGGCUUACCAACCCGAUGCAAACUACGAAUACCGAAGAAUGUUAUCACGGGAGACACACGGCGGGUGCUAACGUCCGUCGUGAAGAGGGAAACAACCCAGACCGCCAGCUAAGGUCCCAAAGUCAUGGUUAAGUGGGAAACGAUGUGGGAAGGCACAGACAGCCAGGAUGUUGGCUUAGAAGCAGCCAUCAUUUAAAGAAAGCGUAAUAGCUCACUGGUCGAGUCGGCCUGCGCGGAAGAUGUAACGGGGCUAAACCAUGCACCGAAGCUGCGGCAGCGACGCUUAUGCGUUGUUGGGUAGGGGAGCGUUCUGUAAGCCGUUGAAGGUGUCCUGUGAGGGGUGCUGGAGGUAUCAGAAGUGCGAAUGCUGACAUAAGUAACGAUAAAGCGGGUGAAAAGCCCGCUCGCCGGAAGACCAAGGGUUCCUGUCCAACGUUAAUCGGGGCAGGGUGAGUCGACCCCUAAGGCGAGGCCGAAAGGCGUAGUCGAUGGGAAACAGGUUAAUAUUCCUGUACUUGGUGUUACUGCGAAGGGGGGACGGAGAAGGCUAUGUCAGCCGGGCGACGGUUGUCCCGGUUUAAGCACGUAGGCGGAGGUUCCAGGUAAAUCCGGUACCUUAUUAACGCUGAGGUGUGAUGACGAGGCACUACGGUGCUGAAGUGAUAAAUGCCCUGCUUCCAGGAAAAGCCUCUAAGCAUCAGGUAACACGAAAUCGUACCCCAAACCGACACAGGUGGUCAGGUAGAGAAUACCAAGGCGCUUGAGAGAACUCGGGUGAAGGAACUAGGCAAAAUGGUGCCGUAACUUCGGGAGAAGGCACGCUGAUGUGUAGGUGAAGUCCCUGCGGACGGAGCUGAAAUCAGUCGAAGAUACCAGCUGGCUGCAACUGUUUAUUAAAAACACAGCACUGUGCAAACACGAAAGUGGACGUAUACGGUGUGACGCCUGCCCGGUGCCGGAAGGUUAAUUGAUGGGGUUAGCGGCAACGCGAAGCUCUUGAUCGAAGCCCCGGUAAACGGCGGCCGUAACUAUAACGGUCCUAAGGUAGCGAAAUUCCUUGUCGGGUAAGUUCCGACCUGCACGAAUGGCGUAAUGAUGGCCAGGCUGUCUCCACCCGAGACUCAGUGAAAUUGAACUCGCUGUGAAGAUGCAGUGUACCCGCGGCAAGACGGAAAGACCCCGUGAACCUUUACUAUAGCUUGACACUGAACACUGGUCCUUGAUGUGUAGGAUAGGUGGGAGGCUUUGAAGCGUGGACGCCAGUCUGCGUGGAGCCAACCUUGAAAUACCACCCUUUAAUGGCUGGUGUUCUAACGUAGACCCGUAAUCCGGGUUGCGGACAGUGUCUGGUGGGUAGUUUGACUGGGGCGGUCUCCUCCCAAAGAGUAACGGAGGAGCACGAAGGUUGGCUAAUCCUGGUCGGACAUCAGGAGGUUAGUGCAAUGGCAUAAGCCAGCUUGACUGCGAGCGUGACGGCGCGAGCAGGUGCGAAAGCAGGUCAUAGUGAUCCGGUGGUUCUGAAUGGAAGGGCCAUCGCUCAACGGAUAAAAGGUACUCCGGGGAUAACAGGCUGAUACCGCCCAAGAGUUCAUAUCGACGGCGGUGUUUGGCACCUCGAUGUCGGCUCAUCACAUCCUGGGGCUGAAGUAGGUCCCAAGGGUAUGGCUGUUCGCCAUUUAAAGUGGUACGCGAGCUGGGUUUAGAACGUCGUGAGACAGUUCGGUCCCUAUCUGCCGUGGGCGCUGGAGAAUUGAGGGGGGCUGCUCCUAGUACGAGAGGACCGGAGUGGACGCAUCACUGGUGUUCGGGUUGUCAUGCCAAUGGCACUGCCCGGUAGCUAAAUGCGGAAGAGAUAAGUGCUGAAAGCAUCUAAGCACGAAACUUGCCCCGAGAUGAGUUCUCCCUGAGACCUUGAGUCUCCUGAAGGAACGUUGAAGACGACGACGUUGAUAGGUCGGGUGUGUAAGCGCAGCGAUGCGUUGAGCUAACCGAUACUAAUGAACCGUGAGGCUUAACCU
rnacentral:rRNA from 1 species